rnacentral:rRNA from 1 species
GACGAACGCUGGCGGCGUGCUUAACACAUGCAAGUCGAACGAAGUGGCGAACGGGUGAGUAACGCGUAAUCAACCUGGCCUUCAGAGGGGGACAACAGUUGGAAACGACUGCUAAUACCGCAUAAUGAAGGAGGGGAUUGCGUGUGAUUGGCUGGUUGGAGGGGUAACGGCCCAACAAGGCGAUGAUCAGUAGCCGGACUGAGAGGGUGGACGGCCACAUUGGGAAUGGGACACGGCCCAGACUCCUACGGGAGGCAGCAAUGGGGAAUUUUCCGCAAUGGACGAAAGUCUGACGGAGCAACGCCGCGUGAGUGAUGACGGCCUUCGGGUUGUAAAGCUCUGUUAAUCGGGACGCGGUACCGGAAUAGAAAGCCACGGCUAACUACGUGCCAGCAGCCGCGGUAAUAC